UAUCCCCUGCCCAUUGUCUAGUCUUUAAUACAAUGAUAUGUGCAAUCAAAUGUGACGUAAAUUAUCAGUUAGUCUCACCUCUUGUGGAAGAGGUUGAAUACAAGGGCUAAUAUAACAUCUCUAUAUCCCCGCCCAUUGUCUAGUCUUAAAUACAAUAUGUGCAAUCAAAUGUGAUGAAAAUUAUCGGUUAGUCUCACCUCCUUGUGGAAGAGGUUGAAUACAAGGGAUAAUAUAACAUCUCUAUAUCCCCCGCCCAUUGUCUAGUCUUAAAUACAAUAUGUGCAAUCAAAUGUGAUGAAAAUUAUCGGUUAGUCUCACCUCCUUGUGGAAGAGGUUGAAUACAAGGGAUAAUAUAACAUCUCUAUAUCCCCCGCCCAUUGUCUAGUCUUAAAUACAAUAUGUGCAAUCAAAUGUGAUGAAACUUAUCGGUUAGUCUCACCUCCUUGUGGAAGAGGUUGAAUACAAGGGCUAAUAUAACAUCUCUAUAUCCCCGCCCAUUGUCUAGUCUUAAAUACAAUAUGUGCAAUCAAAUGUGAUGAAAAUUAUCGGUUAGUCUCACCUCUUGUGGAAGAGGUUGAAUACAAGGGCUAAUAUAACAUCUCUAUAUCCCCGCCCAUUGUCUAGUCUUAAAUACAAUAUGUGCAAUCAAAUGUGAUGAAAAUUAUCGGUUAGUCUCACCUCCUUGUGGAAGAGGUUGAAUACAAGGGAUAAUAUAACAUCUCUAUAUCCCCCGCCCAUUGUCUAGUCUUAAAUACAAUAUGUGCAAUCAAAUGUGAUGAAAAUUAUCGGUUAGUCUCACCUCCUUGUGGAAGAGGUUGAAUACAAGGGAUAAUAUAACAUCUCUAUAUCCCCCGCCCAUUGUCUAGUCUUAAAUACAAUAUGUGCAAUCAAAUGUGAUGAAAAUUAUCAGUUUGUCUCACCUCCUUGUGGAAGAGGUUGAAUACAAGGGCUAAUAUAACAUCUCUAUAUCCCCCGCCCAUUGUCUAGUCUUAAAUACAAUAUGUGCAAUCAAAUGUGAUGAAAAUUAUCAGUUUGUCUCACCUCCUUGUGGAAGAGGUUGAAUACAAGGGCUAAUAUAACAUCUCUAUAUCCCCGCCCAUUGUCUAGUCUUAAAUACAAUAUGUGCAAUCAAAUGUGACGUAAAUUGUCAGUUUGUCUCACCUCCUUGUGGAAGAGGUUGAAUACAAGGGCUAAUAUAACAUCUCUAUAUCCCCCGCCCAUUGUCUAGUCUUAAAUACAAUGAUAUGUGCAAUCAAAUGUGAUGAAAAUUAUCGGUUAGUCUCACCUCCUUGUGGAAGAGGUUGAAUACAAGGGAUAAUAUAACAUCUCCAUAAACUUUGUACAAAUAUCUGCUUUAGUAAGACUGUAAUGAUAAACACACAGGUUAUAAUCAUCUUCCAGUAUGUGAAGGCAAGGAAUAUUUGUAUACUUGAGCACUGCACAAUUAACUCAUUUAAACAUCAUGAAUUGUAUUGUAGGGCAUUGUUUUCAUGCAGGUAUUGUUGCAGCCCUUUACAGGUACAUGUAGUUACCAGAGUAAGGUGCACGGUACAGAUAAGGUACAAAAGUUGUAAGCAUGCUGACCACUCAGAACCUGGUGAACCUGGUGAAUUUCUGAUACAUAUUCUAUCAAUCCUUUUAUGGAUUUGUUGCAGUGUCAACUGGGGUGUCAUUUAAUUAGAAUAAGAAAUAAAUCAUAUUUUGAAGUUUUUAAAGAACAAAGACUCUAUAACACCCAUAGACUGAUAUUGUACAAAGUUUCAUGGAGAAGUACAUAGCAGUACUGAGGUAAGUGUUAAAAUUGCUUCCAUUCAAUUCAAGUCUAAAUUUAUUAAAUUUAUAUACAACCAAAUUUUCGGGGGAAUGAAUAGCAAAAGGUCUAUCUGCACUAUAGGGUGAAUGUGCUUACCAAGUUUCUGAAAGAUAUCUCUGAAGUAAUUUUCCAGUUCUUUCCAGAAAUGAAACCCACUGCUUUCACUCAGCUCGGGGACUAUGUCAAAAUUUAUAAAAAAAAAAAUAUUUUAUUUAGAGAUAAUCAGAAUCAUCAUAAAGAGCAAAAGGCACAUCUACACGAUAUGGUGAAUGUGUGUACCAAGAUUCAUGAAGAUGUCUUGAGUAGUUUUCGAGUUCUGGUCUGGUAAACCCCACUGCUUCCAUUCAGUUCGGGUACUAUGUCAAAAUGUAUAAGAUAUAUAUAUAUAUAUAUUUGUUUAUAGAUAAUCAGAAUCAUCAUAAAUAGCAAAAGACACACCUACACGAUAUGGUGAAUGUGUGUACCAAGAUUCAUGAAGAUAUCUUGAGUAGUUUUUGAGUUCUGCUCUGGUAAACCCCACUGCUUCCAUUCAGUUCAGGGACUAAGUCCAAAUUUCAACACUUUAUACAAAAUAUAAUUUUAUUUUUGUAGGGGCGGGGGAUAAUAACUGUCAUCGGGUCCUGUAAACCUGUGCAAUAAUGACAGAAGAUGUGAAAGAUAUUAGAAGUAAUGAUAUGUUUAGAAUAUGAGGUAAAACUACAUGUGAAGUGGAAGUGAUCAGAUGAUAGAAUCAUCCCUCUUGACGGACUGCAAAGACAUGGUAUUUGUAAUGUAUUUGGUGUGUUGAUAAUUUCCCCUCAACCAAACUAAGUGCAGAUGUCGAUAUAGAAACAACAUCAGUGUGUCCAUCUGUCACAUUUUGUAUCCAGAGCAUAACUUAUCAGUGUUCAAUAUUUCCUCAUGAAAAUUUGUAUGAGCACUAGGCACCCUCACAAUUUGUGCCUUUUCCCAUGCUGGAAUGUUUAUAAUAUUUCUUUUGCAUUUUCGUGGCAACAAGUUGGUUCACAUGAGGGUGGGGUUCGUUUCCAGACCACAAUUCAUAAACCAUUGCAACUUUCUUAUGAAACUUUGUAUACACAUCAGGCAGGCUCUGAACUGGUCCCUGUGGCUAUUCAGUUUUUGGGUAGACUUUUUAUAUUUUGCAUUUCUUAGAAAAUACCAAUUUGGACAAGUAAGCAAACCAGUUAUCAAAGAUGAUACAACUCAUGCUGCUACUGCAGGUUGAAAUAGGUCUCCAGCAAUACAUGCUUGAGGUGACUAAAUUGAUCAGGUGGUCGGGUAACUUGGUUUUUUGUAUGACAUGGUACCCAGACAGUGUGGAUGCUGCUUACACUGCAGUGUCAACUAAAAGAAAAGGCAUCAUACUUAAAAUCGGGAACAUACAUUAGUUUAUGUGUUUGCUGUUGUGGAAUUUUGAAAGUAUUAUCUAGAUCACAGCAAAUGUAAUUACAUGCCAUUACUAAUUCACCACUUUGCAAGGUAUUGAAAUAAUUUGGUGUAGUCAUUAAUUGUUAUGUCAGUUGUACUCAAAUCGUUAGCAUUAAUGAGGUAUAUGAUACUUCCUGUGAUGUUAUACAUUACUUACAAGGGACAUUCAUUAGUUUGUCUUCUUGGAACAAAAGUUAACAUUGACACAGGAGGUUCAGUGGUAUACAAUACACAACUAAUCAAGGGUCUGGAAUCAAACUGCAGACUAUGGUUUAUGAAACAUUUGUUUAUUUUCAGUUCAGUUCCUUUACCAGUUGAAUUGGUCGCUCUAUUACAUACCCUGAACAUUGGUGAUAUGUUCGUAUUUUUUUCAUAUAUUUUUCUAACAUAUGCAAGAGAAGAGGGUAGAAAAUCCACCCAGAAGGGGAAAACACAGGAUGAAAAGUGUAUUACAAUUUGAGACACCUCAAAGGAAUUUUCUGGAAUGGACACAAGAAGACUCCAACUAUGAAAGAACUGGAGAUGGAGGCCUCAUUCUAUGACCUUGACAUUGUGGACAAUGAAGGGGCGGGUAACUGCAUGUUUAUUGCAUUGGCUCAACAGCUUCAACAACAUGACAUUGACAUAACCAGCCAUAAACAUCUGCCAGAAAACGGUUGUGCAAUAUGUGCAGAGCUGCCACAGAUUACCUGAUGUAUAUUGGGGUUAAGGAAGCAAUCAUUCUCAUUCUGAUGGAUGUGCUGAAUAAAACCUAUGAAGAAGUCAAUCGCGGGUGUAAAUCAACAGAAGUUGAUGUCAGUCAAGUUCCAGGGAGGGGUGUCCACAUCACUGUGGAUGACGAAUAAUGACGGUUUGGUUCACACAGGGAGGAUUAAAAUGCCUCUGUUAUACAGGAUGACUGACUUGCUGGAUGUGUUGUGAUGAUUGUGCUUGCACACUGAUGUCAACAACCACCUCUUUACAAGAAGUAAAAAGAUUAAAGUAAUUUGCUGUAUAUGAACCAUAGUUAUAUGUCUUUUUGUGGAAUUAGUAUUUCUUUGUGUGACAAUGUGUGAAUUUAUUAAGUCUGGGACGGGUGAUUCGGGUACCCAGGUCGGGUGGGUACUGAGUAGGACCCGGGUACCCACAGGACUACCCGGAUGCGUGGUUAGUCACGUGAUAUAUUGUUUAAUGACAAACAUUAUCUAGAACUCUAUGCUUACACAACAAGUCACAAAUGUUCGCAUUUCUCUGACUAUGCACCCUUUCCUUCUGACUUAAGUUUUUCUUUUGGCUGUUGAUAGUGAAUCCAAUUUCUAACUUGUGAUCAGAAUAUGAAUGCUAUGGAUCAGU
rnacentral:misc_RNA from 1 species